rnacentral:misc_RNA from 1 species
CCCAAAUCCUCCAAAUCAAAGUAUACACUCUUGUCACCAUAUUUGGCAACUACAGAACAAGCCCUGAAUUUAGUGCGGUUAAAAUUGAGACGAGAUGAUUUGAGAUGAAGCUUAGUUCCAGUGAUUGAACUUCCAGCUAGGCCCUUGAUGUUGGUAGUUGGCUGCACUGCAGCAAGGGUUGCCAAAGAUGCCAUGGCUUUUCACUUCAACAAACUAAACAGAAACUACUACUUUCAGACUUCAAAUUUUGGGCUGGCAAUUGGCACAAAUGUCGAUACGUUUCGGUUUUUGAUCUUUU